UUUCCGUAGGUGAACCUGCGGAAGGAUCAUUACUGAGUCAGGGCCCUCUGGGUCCAACCUCCCACCCGUGUUUAUUAUACCUUGUUGCAUCGGUGAGCCCGCCUCACGGCCGCCGGGGGGCAUCUGCCCCCGGGCCCGCGCCCACCGAAGACACCUAGAACUCUGUAUGAAGAUUGUAGUCUGAGCAAAAACUAAAUAAGUUAAAACUUUCAACAACGGAUCUCUUGGUUCCG
rnacentral:misc_RNA from 1 species